CAUUUGUGUGGACGAUUAUCUGUUUUUGCUCUACGAGAGGUGGGUCUGAGUCCUGCCUCAAAGAAAGCCCCAAAUCCUGCUUUUGAUUUUGAGCGUCUUCUUUUUCUUCAGGCAACGGACAACUUGUAGCUCCUGCAGCUUCCUCUUCAGGCUCUCGUUCUCUCUCUGUGUUCUGGCAGUUUUCUCUUGGAACUCUGACACCGUCUCCUUCACCACCUCCAGAACCUCCUGCACCGCUUCAGUCAGGAGCUUGGCCACACGAGCGUUUAGACGUUCAAGCUUAGACAUCCUGAAACUAGAAAAGACUCAUGGUGUAACUUCUCCUGGAGCUCCUGCAGCUUCCUCUUCAGGCUCUCGUUCUCUCUCUGUGUUCUGGCAGUUUUCUCCUGGUACUCUGACACCGUCU